UACAGAGGUCUCAAGCGUUGUUCGGAUUCAUUGGGCGUAAAGCGUGUGUAGGCGGACUUCUAAGUACCUUGUGAAACCCCACGGCUUAACCGUGGAACUGCUUGGUAUACUGGUUGUCUUGGGCCACUUAGGGGCUACCGGAACAAACGGUGGAGCGGUGAAAUGCGUAGAUAUCGUUUGGAACGCCAAUGGUGAAAACAGGUAGCUGGGAGUG
rnacentral:rRNA from 1 species